AUUGAACGCUGGCGGCAUGCCUUACACAUGCAAGUCGAACGGCAGCAUGAUCUAGCUUGCUAGAUUGAUGGCGAGUGGCGAACGGGUGAGUAAUACGUCGGAACGUGCCCUGUUGUGGGGGAUAACUAGUCGAAAGAUUAGCUAAUACCGCAUACGACCUGAGGGUGAAAGUGGGGGACCGCAAGGCCUCAUGCUAUAGGAGCGGCCGAUGUCUGAUUAGCUAGUUGGUGAGGUAAAGGCUCACCAAGGCGACGAUCAGUAGCUGGUCUGAGAGGACGAUCAGCCACACUGGGACUGAGACACGGCCCAGACUCCUACGGGAGGCAGCAGUGGGGAAUUUUGGACAAUGGGCGAAAGCCUGAUCCAGCAAUGCCGCGUGUGUGAAGAAGGCCUUCGGGUUGUAAAGCACUUUUGUCCGGAAAGAAAUGGCUCUGGUUAAUACCUGGGGUCGAUGACGGUACCGGAAGAAUAAGGACCGGCUAACUACGUG
rnacentral:rRNA from 1 species